CUCUGCAGAAAGAAGUUGGAUGGUGGAGGAAGAAAGAUCGUCUUUAAAAUAUCUGCAGCUGUAGCAAGGAAAGACAACCACUGAGAAAAAUGAACCGUUCCUUUUUAAAAAUAUACACAUCUCUUUUCAACAUCACUGAAGUUUGAGCUUGGGAAAGGGCAGGAAGAAUUGGCUGUACUUUUGAUCAGCAAUUAUUUCUUACCAUAACACAGCAUACGAAGGAAUCCAAUCCCAGAAGGACUGAACAGCAUAAGAAACAUGAAUGAAAAUAACCACAACAUCAUACGAAUUAGCAAAAAGAAUGGUUGGUGCAAAGUUAACAGUGAUCUGUCUCAAAAGCCAUCUUUAAUUCCAACACAGUUCAUUGGCAACUAAACUAAUUUUUAACUCAUGUUAUUAAUUUAUGAACUAGAUCACUUAUUCACGUGACAUUUUGCUUGAAGUCAUUUGAUUCUUAAAUUAGAACUACUUGUCUUUUUUUUUUUUUCUUUUCUUUUUAUUGAGGUAGAUAAGCACCAUACAUGCUUUCAGGAAAAAAAGGUUACUAAAUGACCAACAAAUCUUUGUGCCAAUGAAAUCACACUAUGCCAGGAUUUCCUAUUUUUUCUUCCUUAAUCUUAUUCUUUAGUGCUUCCAUAUUCUGGAGCUAAGAACUAUAGCCACCUGCAAUAAAAUAGAACGGGACUUAAUGACCUCAAAGCAGGAUUCUGUAUGACGUCCAACUAUAAGUUCUGUCAAAAAGAACAGUGUUUCCUUACACUAAAUAAAUGCCCUUUACCGUAAUAAGAAAACAAAUCUCCCGGUUACUAUCCUAUAAAAGGUAUGCCUGCCCACCAACUUGUUUGCAUAGUCUCAUAAAUUAACACCAAGAUCUCAGGUCUUUACCCUAUUCCAUUUCAUACAUCUCUUCAGUAAGCAAAUAUACUUCAGAGCUUUUCCCUCACAUUUGUCUCAUUGACGAGCUUGACAGAAUCACCUCAACUGAUGUACACGGCUAACACAAAGAGGACUACUAUUAUGGGAUUUCAUGGUUUUGCCUGGAAGAGCAGCAGAGGACUGAGUCCUCUUAGUUAAAGAGGUUCUUUCCACACCAACAUUCUAAUUACUUAACGGGAGUAUCUUCCCAGAAGCUCUUUCAGUUCCUUCCUACACUAUAUUCCUUUUGAACACAAAACACAGAAGCCCCCCAGGAAUAACUUAUGUAUAGGAACAGGGAUGAGGGACUAACCAACACACACAAAUGUAAUUUCUAAUAAUUUCCAUAACCCUUAACAGAGUCUGCCAGUGCACCAAGACAAAACUGAAUCAAGUUUCGCUUCCCACUUUCUGCCCACAGUCAGGAAGUCAAAGGCUUUACACAACACUUGUGUUAACAAUCCCAGUGGCUGGUGAGUGGGACAUCAGACAAGACCUUGGUGCCAUACCCCAUUCAGCAACAGGUAGAAGUCAUUAUCAACACUGCUUUGUUGACAAAUCUAAAACACAGCACUAUAAAAGCUGAUAUGAAGAAAAGUAACUCCACACCAGCUAGACUUUGUAAAUCCUAUAGUAGUAACUUCCUUCAGUAAAUUUACGUUAGAAAGUCUUACUUUUCUCCCUUGAGUUUUGUCACAUGUGAUGGGUAAUUUUCAUCUAACUAGUGUUAAAAACAUGCCCUUUUCACAACUGCUCACAAUUCUUAAAGGCUUGGAGAUUAUGAUUUAAGUCUUAGGAAAAAAAAGCGUGAAGGAAGUUCUGCCUUCUUUCUCUAUUAUAGACUUUUUACAGUAAGAUUUCUGACUGUCCCUCAACAUUACCUAUACCAUUAUUUUAAGAAGUGUUGUAAUUCCAAAUUAAAUAGAAAAUUAUAAAAUAUUUUGGAGAACAUAUACUACUCAAAGAUUCCACUAAAAACGCAGAAACGUACAGCUAUCUUUAGAGCUAUCAAAAUUUUUUUGUAAAGAAAAAGGUCUGCCAUCAUUAUCUACAGGUUCAUGAAAAGCAAUCAGUGUAACAGAAUUAACAGCUUUCAGUUGUAAAAUUAAUAAUUCCAGUAAUACACAACAUUAAACAUGCCAUUUGAGAUAUAUGCCGAUUUAAACUACCACAUAUGGCAUAUCUAUCUAAUUAUCACAGUUUGUGUUUUCAUAUGCAGAGCUGUUCUGGUUUUUAAACAAUGUGUCAAAAUGCACUGUUAUCUGAAAAUAGAAAACACUACAUUUUACAGUACCACUUAGUUAAUAUUGUACUUUUAAUGUGCAGCAUACUAUGGGUUAAAAAGCAUCACAACAAGGUGCCCUAAUGUUUUAGUACUGCUUUUAGCUUUUUUUAAUUAGUAAAAAGCUAAUAAGUUGCUUUUUCAUAAGUUGCUCAAAAUCGCAUUUUCAAUUUUUAUUUUUCAAGUCUUAAAGCAUUUCAACUUUUUUCAUUACUGACUAGUCCAAACAAUCCUCUUAAAAAAAAAAAGUCAAAGCAUUUUAAUUAAUCAAAGGAAAAUAGGAUAACUGACCUUCAGGUUAAUUAUUACAAGUCAAAAUUCCAAUAUUUGCUGAGAAUUUAUUUUCAGCUUACCAGUUCCAUUUAACACUUCAGAUCAGAACUUUAUUUAAUAGAGCGCUUCCCACAAACUCUUUUGCUAAUUUUCAUUAACUUUGUCAACUAGUUCAUGAAUUUUCAUUUCCAUCUUUCAAAACUAACAAUAAGAUAAGCAUGCUAGAACAAAAGAAGUGUAAUAUAUCUAGUACAAGAAGUUAUUUGCAAUUGGAAACAGAUCCUAGAAGAUAUUUAAUUUGAAGAGAAUCUGUAAGUCAAUCUGGAUUUGAUCUAAGGCUUCUCUUCUAAAAUAAAUCUAUCUGCAAGGGUAGCACACCAACAUAAAAACAGUGUUUUCCUACAAAGUCACUUAAAUCACUGAAUAGAUUUACAGGUAUAUUGAGAAGUAAGUAUUAUAUAAAACCACAAUUAGUCUUUUAAGAUGAAAGUAUCUAACUACCUGCAUUAAGCAAAGCCAAAGAAUAAGACAAUGACAGGAACAUUUUUAAUUACAGUAUAUUUGUAUUAUUUGUUCUGCUUCUGGCAUUAAAAGGUUGCAUUUAUUCACUAAAAAAUAAAAGGAAUUUUUAAAACACUGCAAAUUUUGCUUUAGUUAACUGCCUCCUUGCAGGAUAAGGCAUACAACUCUUAUCCCAGUAAAGUCUAACAUGUAUACUGGCAAGUUCAUACUGAUAAAAUAUUAUAUACUUGUAUUUGAUAAUUGUUUUUGAAAAUAUACUGAAGUAUAUCCUUAGCAAUACACAAUUUAUGUUCAUAUUCAUCAUUUACUUGACUUCAUAGAAACUGAAUGUAGGAGGAGAGACAUCUCUAAACAGAGAUUCAAAUAGCUCUAUCCAGCUGAGAAAAGAUUAAUUAAAAUCAUUUACAAGACUACAAAAUGGUGAGAUCAUUUCACUUCAGAGAAAAAGGGAGCAGUAACAAACUUCCAUAUACUAGCAUCAAAAAAAGAAAAAAAAAUCCUUUGUUAAAAGAGGGAAAAACUUAGAAAUAAAGAAGUAUUUCACAAAACAAUCUAAAUUGCCUUGAUUUUUUUUUUGUAAAGAACCAUUUUAUUUUAUUAUUGUUAUUUUUGACAUACACUAUCAUCUAUCCCUAUGUAAAAACACACCAAAAUGGGGCAAUAUAGACUGGAUACACAUUCUGCCUUGUGUAAAUGCAGCACUUACCUGAAUAUAGAGACACUGCCCUCGUGUCUCCGUUCACUUUCCCAGAAACCAGUGAAAAUUGCAAGAAAUUCUCAGUUUCCUCACUUACACUUGAGAGACAAAAAAGUUAUAUUCUUUUUGCUGAAAAUAAUAUAACAUCAGCAGUAGAAAGAUGUGAGGAUUGUAUCUCAUUUAUUGGCAUAAAGAGGUUGGACAACUUUAAGAAAUACAAAACUUGAGAUCUUAAGAAACAGUUGAAAAAAAAUCUUCAGAUUUUGAUUCCUUCCAAAAUGUCCUCACCUUAACUAAAAAUAUCUACUUACCACACAAUCUGAAUUCAUUGGAUUGAGAGUGGUAGAUACAUUUUACUGGCAGAACUUCCACACAGAACAUCAAGUAUAAAAGUAGAGGUUAAAAAAAGAAAAGCCAUGUUAAACUGUUUAAGAAACAAACUAGAAGCUUUCCAGUGCUUAGGACGUGCUACAUUACAAUACCAAGAUCCAGAAUUUUAAGCUUUAUAACUUGUAAAGUAACUUGUAGAUUAAAAAUUGAAAAUUAAAAUUAAAUACUUGAUGAGACUGCAUCACCGAUAGUCUUGUAAAUACAGCAGCAUACACACAACAUUUUUUGAUGAAAUAUACAUCUUUCUAAGGAUCUUCAGUUUUUAUGAAAUGGGCCGUCCUACCAAUUUCCCCCAUGGAAAGGGCAUCCCACACCUUGAAGUUGAUAACACCGGUACAUUAUAUCUAUCCAUAAGAAACAUCUACUACAAGAUCUAAUAUAAAAAUCACCUUUUGCUUAUAAGCAAGAGAAAAAGAAAUUUAGAAAGCAAUAAACCCCUUCAAGCACAGCAUUUGAAUGGUGUGGGGAAAACUGCUAAACUCUAAAGGGAUUAACAACAUAGAACCUACUUGAAGCAAGUGAAACUUCAAAAAUGAAAAGUCUAGUCAAAUGUCCUAAAUUAUCAUCGUCUUUAUAUACAGACUUACCUAUGAGGAUUCAGGAAUACCUACUGACCUGGAUUCACACUAUUUCAUAUACAUGAGCUCACUUCACAUGAAAUACACUAUUAUUCUCUUUUGGUUUGCAAAUAAACUGCCAUAUAAUUCAGUAAAUAACAACAGCACUUUUCCCUCUGAAUUGGCAAUAGAACAUUAAUACCCUUCUAGACCUACUGAUAUAGGUCAUACUACAAAUACGAAAUCUAUAUUAGUACCUGAAAUACUUUUGAGCAUACCAGUGUGGACUUCAUAUCAAAUUGUCAUCUUCAGCUUAUCUCUCCCUCCCAAGUAAGCAUACUUAACAAAAACCUGAUCAUACAUAACUAGUACUAGUAAGCACUAAGAGAUUCCCCUCCAUCUCCAUGCUGAUGUUUUUUACGUUUUGUCUUCACAGAAUCUUUGAUGGAGAAAAAAAUCCAAAUUAAGACACUG